UACGUAGGGGCCUAGCGUUGUCCCGGAUUUAUUGGGCGUAAAGAGCUCGUAGGCGGUUUGUCGCGUCUGCUGUGAAAGUCCGAGGCUCAACCUCGGAUCUGCAGUGGGUACGGGCAGACUAGAGUGUGGUAGGGGAGACUGGAAUUCCUGGUGUAGCGGUGGAAUGCGCAGAUAUCUAGGAGGAACACCAAUGGCGAAGGCAUGGUCUCUGGGCCACAACUGACGCUGGAGGAGCGAAAGCAUGGGGAGCGAACAGG
rnacentral:rRNA from 1 species